rnacentral:rRNA from 1 species
UACGUAGGGGCCUAGCGUUGUCCGGAUUUAUUGGGCGUAAAGAGCUCGUAGGCGGUUUGGUAAGUCGGGUGUGAAAUCUCCACGCUCAACGUGGAGGGGCCACCCGAUACUGCCAUGACUGGAGUCCGGUAGGGGAGUGUGGAAUUCCCGGUGUAGCGGUGAAAUGCGCAGAUAUCGGGAGGAACACCAGUAGCGAAGGCGGUCUCCUGGGGCAUUCUUGACGCUGAGGCGCGAAAGCUGGGGGAGCAAACGGG